AACGGUGUCUUCUCCCCACAAAUGAAAGAGAAAUAGUAAAUUCUCCUGCGGGUGGCGAAUCAGGAGGGAAGGUGGAGCCCACAAUCUUUGCAAACUCUCUGGGGAGCCAGGGGUUGGUAGCUGGGAAGACUUGGGUGGUGACCCUGGGGGAGGGGAAGGGGCCGGGGAGCGGGGAAUGGGGGCAGCCCCUGGGGAGGAAUGGGAGAGGGAGGAGGACGCCAGGGGCACAGGGACAGCCUCCGGGGCGGGGCGCGGCGCCAGCCUAGCCCGAGGAUGGAGGCUGAGGCCGCCUGUUGAGUCACAGGUUUUGGCAGAGUUCAAAGACUGGGAAGCAAAGUUCAGCCAUGUUGGGCCUUUGGGCUCAUAGAUGAGCAAGGGUACCCCAAUAUGAGGGCUCAGCAAAUUCUGGAACUUAUCAGUUCUGAAGACCUUUAGAGGAGAAGGAGACAAGU
rnacentral:lncRNA from 1 species